rnacentral:lncRNA from 1 species
GGACAGCAAGCCCGAGGGAGUGGGACGAGACCACAGGAGGGACAGCGAGCCCGGGAGAAUACCCCACAGAGGACAGCAGGAGUGAGUGGGACAGACCCCACAGAGGACAGCGAGUGAGUGGGACAGACCCCACGGAGGACAGCGAGCCGGGGGACAGACCUCACAGAGGACAGCGAGAGGAGGACACAGAUCCCACGGAGGACAGCGAGCCAGGGAGAGAUACCCCACAGAGGACAGCAAGCUGGGGGCACAGACCUCACAACAGCCAGGGAAGACUCCAGGACAGCUCCUUUCCCUCAGCCCACCCGCCUGAUAUUUCACUGCGGCCUGUGAGCAGCAUCCACAAACCCACACACCACACACCACAAGCACCCACACCACACACUCAGGCUUGCACACCUGUACAACCCACACAUCACACCAUACACAACACACCACAACCCACACCACACACCACAUCCCACACCACACAACCCACACCACACACCCCACACACACCACACACCCCACACCACAUACCACACCACACACCCCACACCACACACCACACACCCCACACCACACCACACACAACCAUUAACCACAUAAAUGCAUGGAGCUACACACCACACAAACUUACACCAGAAGCCAUAUACCCACACCACAAACUACACUACACACUACACUACUCCACUCAUGAAGACACACCACAUACUACAGCAGACUACAUAUACUAUAGACUAUUACCAUACACACCACACAACACAAACCACACAAAACACAAUACACACCAUACACACAACACACAACAGAGACCACACACAACACACACGACACACACACAACACACUACACACUACAUACCACAUACCAUGCAAUACACACCAUAUACAUCAUACAACAAAUCACACACACGACAUACAACACAAACCACACAACAGACCACGCACACACCACACAUCAUAGAUUACACACCACACACACCACAAAACACACCAGAGACUCGCAUACGCACACAAUACACACCACAAACAGAGCACACACACCACACAAAACUCCACGCACCACACACCACACAUGCACCACACACCACCCAAACCACACGCACACACCUUCCACAGUGCAUAUGUAACACAAGGAAAACACACACACCACACACAACCCACCACACACUGCACAUAAAUUCAUAUGACAUGUAA